CUCUUUCUGCCAAUGGCGGUUGGAACCAGCUCACGAAGAGCUGCCCUUUCCAGUGGGCAGCAGGGGUCCCAGAUGAAUCUGCCAGUCAACUCUUGGGUUGGGGAAUCAGAUUGAGGCUGGCGAGGUGGCUUGUGGGAACGCAGAGAGGUGAGGCUGCCACGCCCACUUGUCAACCGCAAAAGCUUAAUUGGGCCAGAAAUAUUCUCCAGUUCCUGCUUCUGCAAGACAGAUCUCAGCUGUCACCAAGCAUCUGUGGCAUCCGGAAGGGACGAGCAGAGUUCUGUGGGCUGGAAGCUUGGAGAACAGAUGUCCCUCGUCUGUGCCAGUUAUGCACAGAGUGCCCAAUCUUAGCAGUCCAGAAGCCCAGUGGAAGGCCAAUAAAGGCACUUGGAAAUUUGAGACCCCAAGGUGGAAACCAAAUUGUCAGUUUUCUUCACUCAUAGACAGCUGCCUUGGCACUUGGGGAUGAAGCAAUGAAUGGUCCCUGAGCCCAGCCCACAGGCUUGCUGACAAGGUGACCAGCCCAGCACCGAGAAACAGGCGCCAUGUGAAGCCCCAAGUCAGAUCAGCUUGUGGAGGAGAGUGUGAAAUCGGCCAGUGCUUUCACUUCUCUCAGCCCCACGAUGGACUCAUAGACACAGAGUAUGAGCAGGGAAAUGAGGGCUGCAGCCCGAGGAAGCUU
rnacentral:lncRNA from 1 species